GAAUCUUGCGCAAUGGGAGCAAUCCUGACGCAGCGACGCCGCGUGCGGGAGGACGCCCUUCGGGGUGUAAACCGCUGUUACUCGGGACGAACCUGGUCCUUCGUGGCCACUGACGGUACCGGGGGAGGAAGCACCGGCUAACUCUGUGCCAGCAGCCGCGGUAAUACAGAGGGGGCGAGCGUUGUCCGGAAUCACUGGGCGUAAAGGGCGCGUAGGCGGCUUUUCUUGUGUGCGGUGAAAGCCCGGGGCUCAACUCCGGGUCGGCCGUGCAAACGGGGGAGCUCGAGUCUGGUAGAGGUCGAUGGAAUUCCGGGUGUAGCGGUGGAAUGCGUAGAGAUCCGGAAGAACACCGGUGGCGAAGGCGGUCGACUGGGCCAGGACCGACGCUGAGGCGCGACAGCGUGGGGAGCAAACAGG
rnacentral:rRNA from 1 species